UACGAAGGGGGCUAGCGUUGCUCGGAAUCACUGGGCGUAAAGGGCGCGUAGGCGGAUCUUUAAGUCAGGGGUGAAAGCCUGAGGCUCAACCUCAGAAUUGCCUUUGAUACUGAAGAUCUCGAGACCGGAAGAGGUAAGUGGAACUGCGAGUGUAGAGGUGAAAUUCGUAGAUAUUCGCAAGAACACCAGUGGCGAAGGCGGCUUACUGGUCCGGUUCUGACGCUGAGGCGCGAAAGCGUGGGGAGCAAACAGG
rnacentral:rRNA from 2 species